rnacentral:lncRNA from 1 species
CUUCGCCGUCAUCUCCCUCUCGAACCGCCAGAUGUAAUUCAGCCCCACAAGAAGCUCAGUGAUCGCUGCCUCCGCCUUCUCCUUGUUGGCGAAGUACAGCGUUUGUAGAAGCAUCACGUGCGCUGUCGACUUCGGCGACGACGAGGAAUUUUGCUGCUCGAAGCUCCGUUCACUCUGCCACUUGAUCAUGUUGUGCGCCAGCGGCGACAGCCAGCUCAGCACCCUUCCUAGCGCGUCCUUCCACUCGCCGGCUAAACCCGGAUCCG